GUCUACGGCCAUACCACCCUGAACACGUCCGAUCUCGUCUGAUCUCAGAAGCUAAGCAGGGUCGGGCCUGGUUACUACUUGGAUGGGAGAAACUAAAAGGGCCAGGAUUUGGGGUCA
ensembl:rRNA 5S_rRNA 5S ribosomal RNA